CGGAAUUACUGGGCGUAAAGCGCGUGUAGGCGGUUUUCCAAGACGGGGGUGAAAGCCUUGAGCUCAACUCAAGAAAUGCACUCGAUACUGGGUGACUUGAGGACCGGAGAGGAUAGUGGAAUUCCCAGUGUAGUGGUGAAAUACGUAGAGAUUGGGAAGAACACCAGUGGCGAAGGCGGCUAUCUGGACGGUUUCUGACGCUAAGACGCGAAAGCGUGGGGAGCAAACAGG
rnacentral:rRNA from 1 species